CCUAGUCAAAGUUUUAUGUAGCAACAUAUCCAUUCCAUAAAACAUUCCUCCAAAGAGGCAUUUUAGCCAACACAGCCAUUUCUCAUGGCAUUAAAUGUACAUGCAUAUAUAUUUACAUUAUAUGUAUAUCAUCAUCAGAUUAGUUUGUUGGUAUUGAUGCUUGUGCAUAUGUGUGUAUAAACAUAUCAUAUACAUACAGAAAUAUAUUUUAUAUAGAUAAAGUAUAUAACUCUAUAGAUAAGGUAUAUAACUCUAUCUAUACGGUCCUAAGAAACAUGUAGCCUCAUAUGAAGGCCACAGAAUUUCCCUGCUAGAAUUAGAUCUCAGUUUUGAUAAAGACUCAUUCUACUCAAAUUAUACACGGAAGCCUAAAUCUGCAUAAGAAGCACAAGGAAUUCCCUUCAGUCCUGCCAGUCUCUGUUCUGACACAGAUUUAUGGAAUUCUCAGGCUCUGGCAUUGUGAUGCUCCACUGUACAUUUUAAUGAUUCUCUGGUGGCUGGAACCCAGCAGUAACAAUUCAAGUCAGUAAGUGGGGCGGCUCUACUCUAAACUUCAUAGAACAGAUGCUUCAAGACUACAAACACCAUCUUUAACUGCGUUAAGGGCUUUCAUUAGGAAAAAAACUAUAUGAGCUCAACACUGAGGUCAGAGAAGCAUACUAAAGAAAGACAAAAUUUUGCUUGGUGGUGCAUUCUGCUAUGCACCUGUCUAGAGGACAAAAAGAAAAACCUUAUAUCACAUCUUUCAAGAGAAGACCAGAAUGGUUUGUGAUUCAGGAGUUGUUCGUACACUCUUCUCUUUCAGAGAGGUGAUUUUCUUCAAGCCAGAAGAAGGUAUGAAUUCCUCAAAAAGGAAGAGAGGCAGACACUUCUCCUCAGGGAUGAGAUUAAGAUCACUAUUUGCAUCUGAAAAUCCUAAUUUUCCCUCAGUUGAAAGAAAUAUAACAGGUCCAUUAAGUACCUACAUCAUGAAAAAUAAUUAAAAAUUAUAUUAAUGAUUUCAAGAUUGUCUCCUUUGCUACAGAGAAACACACUGACAUGUACAUUCAGACCAGAUAAACACACCUUUAGUUAGGUGUUUAACACUAAAGUAGUGUGUCCCUUGGGUAUUAGUCCCUGGUUUAAGUGGGUUUAUUUCUGACAAGAUACUGCAUACUCUUAUUCAAAAUGACCUCUUUUCUAACACAAAUAGAAUGAAGAAAGAGAGGGGGAGAAAAGGAAAAGGUGACUGCUCUUGAAGAUCACUAGACCUCCUCAGACAUAUUCAAAUCAGAAGAGUGGUGCAAUAAAUAUUGAAAUAUUUGAUGAGGAAAAAAUGAU
rnacentral:lncRNA from 1 species